AACGAACGCUGGCGGCAUGCCUAACACAUGCAAGUCGAACGAGACCUUCGGGUCUAGUGGCGCACGUGUGCGUAACGCGUGGGAACCUGCCCUUAGGUUCGGAAUAACUCCCCGAAAGGGGUGCUAAUACCGGAUAAUGUCUUCGGACCAAAGAUUUAUCGCCUUUGGAUGGGCCCGCGUUGGAUUAGCUAGUUGGUAGGGUAAAAGCCUACCAAGGCGACGAUCCAUAGCUGGUCUGAGAGGAUGAUCAGCCACACUGGGACUGAGACACGGCCCAGACUCCUACGGGAGGCAGCAGUGGGGAAUAUUGGACAAUGGGCGAAAGCCUGAUCCAGCAAUGCCGCGUGAGUGAGGAAGGCGUUAGGGUUGUAAAGCUCUUUUACCCGGGAUGAUAAUGACAGUACCGGGAGAAUAAGCUCCGGCUAACUACGUG
rnacentral:rRNA from 1 species